GAAACAGAGUUUUUGAGUUUUGUCGGCACACAAGAAAGAAUGGGGGAAGAAGAAGAAGAAGAAGAAGAAGAAGAAGAAGAAGAGAGCUCGAAUUCUAUGUGCAUACUUCCCGAGCUACUUGAAGAGAUAUUCAUUAGACUACCAUUGAAAUCGAUUCUCAGAUUCAGAACCGUAUCAAAACAUUGUAGAUCACUCCUCGAGUCGAGGAGGUUCUCGGAGAAACGUAUGAGUCUUCAAAAGAAUCGGAGAAUCCUCGCUGCUUACAAUUGCGACUGCGGCGACCGUCCGCGUCUCCUCACCGAGUCACGGUUCGAAGGAGACGAAGAGAUCGUAUAUCUUCACUGCCUCGCCUCACGACCCUCGUUGAGCUGCGACGGUUUGCUCUGCUUCCCCGAACAAGACUGGAUCAUUGUUUUGAAUCCAUCCACGAGACAGCUCCGCAGAUUCCCUUCCGGCUUGAACCAUAAGUGCAGAUUUGGAUUCGGAUUAUGGUCGAGCUUCUCGCCUGGAAACUGGGCGAUUGGGUUUGGUAGAGACAAGGUUACGGGAAGCUUUAAAGUAGUGAGGUUGUGUUUUUCUUUUCGGGAAAUUGGGCAAGAGGAACCUGUGUUGGAAUGUGGUGUUCUCGAUGUUCAAACUGGUGUAUGGAGUAAACUGAGUCCACCUCCUCAUGUAGUUAAUCCCGGAAGCAAAUCUGUCUGUGUGAAUGGAUCCAUCUACUGGUUACACGUUGAUGUUUACGUUGAAAAGCAUUAUAAAAUACUUGCACUGGAUCUUCAUAAACAAGAGUUCAAGAAAUUCCCAGUUCCGCCUACACGAGCUACGAAGGAAUCGCGGUUAGUGAACCUUGAGGAACGUCUAGCGUUUGUCAAAACAAAUGUUUUGCCUAUAUGGAGGGUAGAGAUAUGGAGCACGGAUACAUAUCAAAAACGAUGGAGCAAGACUUUUUCCAUACACUUAAAACUUGAUGUUGUUUCAUGGCCAAAGCGGAGAAGGUGGUUCACGCCAGUGGCGGUUUCUAAGCAAGGGAAUCUUGUCUUCUAUGACAAUCAGAACAAGCUGUUUAAGUAUUAUCCAAGGACAAAUGAGACUCGGUGUCUCUCACUGGACACUUGUGUUAUAUCUCCAUACGUGGAGAAUUUGGUAUCACUUCCUUUAAAACCGAGUCAUCCGUAUCCUCAUGUAAGUGUGGAAACAAGGAUGUCCAGAUGCCGCUUGUUUUCCAGGGAGUCGAGUUCUUGGAUAUUCAAAGCUUUGCAACACAAACAGUAGCUCAUCACAGGUAUUCAGGGGAUACUCUAGAUGUGAUCACUUGCAGCAGUUCUCCAUUUUUGCAGUGUGUUACGUGUAUACUCUGGUAUCCUGCAACUGAGCAGCCUGUAUCCAGAUAAGCAGUUAUCUGCCAAUCAUACUUGCCUGAGACCACCUUAUGGGGUGCUGUAUCUGGCGGCAAAGAAGCAGUAUGUGGGAUUCAACAGUGGAGCGAAACAUCUGAGGAACCUAUUGGAUGAGGAAACUAUCUUCGGAGCUUAUUUGAUUAAGGAGACUACUGAAAAGAUGUUUGACAGAUCUUCCUUAAAAUAGCUAUAGAAGAACUAACUCAUGACCAGAUAUUCUGCAGCUGCAUCAGUUUAAUAGAAUUCAGUCAAAUACUCAUGGCCAAUAAUUUUACUUCUCUUCUAUUGGUUUGUUUAUCAACUAAUUGGAAUUCAUUUGUAUAUAGAAAAGAACAUUGAUACAAAAAAAAUUAUGUUUGGAUUGCAUGAGAAUUAUGGAUUGAAAUGUACUUAAGCAUUGUAAAUUCAAGUAAAGCAUAGUUAUUAUUAGUCUA